CUCCGGAUCACUAAAACACUUUAGUCUGCUGAAAUGGUUUAUGUGCGAAUAAUGUGUCCUCUUUUUUUUCCAUUUUACAAAUUGUUACGUCCUGGUUUGUUUAGCUCUUUGGAACUAAACUUAAGAGGCAGGCAAUUGAUCAGAGGACUUGCCUUGCCGCAAUUUGUCAUCAGGACAUGACAACCAUGACAGUUCUAGGCCCCACAUUCCAUAAUUGCACAUAUAUAAAGCGAUUAUCGUUAUAUACCUGUGCACUGCUGGCCCCCAGCUUCCUGUAAUUGCAGGGAGGCCAGCAGACUCCAUGUUCACUUCUCAGCUGCUCUUCUGUCUUUUUAUUAUGCAAGCUCCCGUGCGGUUUGCAAGAGUAUGAGAGAGAGGAGCUAAGAAGUGAACAUAAAGUGUGCUAGUCCCCCUGCAGUAACAGGUAGCCAGACAUCCACACCAUACCACUGGACCACCAGGGAAUGUAAUCUCCC